rnacentral:rRNA from 1 species
CCUACGGGAGGCAGCAGUGAGGAAUAUUGGUCAAUGGACGCAAGUCUGAACCAGCCAUGCCGCGUGCAGGAAGACGGCUCUAUGAGUUGUAAACUGCUUUUGUACGAGGGUAAAUCCCGAUACGUGUAUCGGGUUGAAAGUAUCGUACGAAUAAGGAUCGGCUAACUCCGUGCCAGCAGCCGCGGUAAGACGGAGGAUUCAAGCGUUAUCCGGAUUUAUUGGGUUUAAAGGGUGCGUAGGCGGUUCGAUAAGUUAGAGGUGAAAGCCCGGGGCUCAACUCCGGCACUGCCUCUGAUACUGUCGGGCUAGAGUUUAGUUGCGGUAGGCGGAAUGUAUGGUGUAGCGGUGAAAUGCAUAGAGAUCAUACAGAACACCGAUUGCGAAGGCAGCUUACCAAACUACGACUGACGUUGAGGCACGAAAGCGUGGGGAGCAAACAGGAUUAGAUACCCCUGUAAUC